GAUGAACGCUAGCGGCAGGCUUAAUACAUGCAAGUCGAGGGGGAUUAGCUGGGUAGCAAUACCCGGCUAUGAGACCGGCAAACGGGUGCGGAACACGUACGCAACCUUCCCAAAACUGGUGAAUAGCCCUCCGAAAGGAGGAUUAAUACACCGUAACAUAAUGAGAUGGCAUCAUUUUAUUAUUAUAGCUCCGGCGGUUUUGGAUGGGCGUGCGCCUGAUUAGGUAGUUGGCGGGGUAACGGCCCACCAAGCCUGCGAUCGGUAACUGGUGUGAGAGCACGAGCAGUCACACGGGCACUGAGACACGGGCCCGACGCCUACGGGAGGCAGCAGUAAGGAAUAUUGGUCAAUGGACGAAAGUCUGAACCAGCCAUGCCGCGUGAAGGAUGACGGCCCUCUGGGUUGUAAACUUCUUUCGACCGAGAUGAACGUCUCCCGACCCAACACGUCGGGGGAGUGACAGUAUCGAGGGAAGAAGCCCCGGCUAACUCUGUGCCAGCAGCCGCCGUAAUAC
rnacentral:rRNA from 1 species